rnacentral:rRNA from 1 species
CUACGUGCCAGCAGCCGCGGUAAUACGUAGGUCCCGAGCGUUGUCCGGAUUUAUUGGGCGUAAAGCGAGCGCAGGCGGUUAGAUAAGUCUGAAGUUAAAGGCUGUGGCUUAACCAUAGUACGCUUUGGAAACUGUUUAACUUGAGUGCAAGAGGGGAGAGUGGAAUUCCAUGUGUAGCGGUGAAAUGCGUAGAUAUAUGGAGGAACACCGGUGGCGAAAGCGGCUCUCUGGCUUGUAACUGACGCUGAGGCUCGAAAGCGUGGGGAGCAAACAGGAUUAGAUACCCUGGUAGUCCACGCCGUAAACGAUGAGUGCUAGGUGUUAGACCCUUUCCGGGGUUUAGUGCCGCAGCUAACGCAUUAAGCACUCCGCCUGGGGAGUACGACCGCAAGGUUGAAACUCAAAGGAAUUGACGGGGGCCCGCACAAGCGGUGGAGCAUGUGGUUUAAUUCGAUGCAACGCGAAGAACCUUACCUACUCUUGACAUCCAUGGAAUUCUGUAGAGAUACGGGAGUGC